rnacentral:lncRNA from 1 species
AAUCUUUUUAAUUGACUAGAUUACAAGUUUGGGAUCCAUUUAAGCCUUGAAGUCUUCUUACAGUUUACACCCAGAGGUGAUGAUAAGACAAAUAUUCCCAAAUGCAUUGAUGACUUCCAAAAUGGACCAAAAGCAUAAAAGGCCUACAGUCACUGGCUCAAGUUUUGUGAUGUGCUGUUUAUAACUGGACAGGCCUGGAAGUGGCUUAGUACCUUCCACUCCUAUUUUAAGUCAGAAGCAACAGUAAGCUGAGCGGCCUCGAAGACCGAGUUGCUUCUCCAAAAGGAUGCUCAACUUGCAGCUGAGGUUAUUAACAAGGUAACAGAGGAGAUUUAUAAUAUAUAGGUUAAGGUAUGUAGGAAACCU